rnacentral:rRNA from 1 species
UUAAGCGACUAAGCGUACACGGUGGAUGCCCUGGCAGUCAGAGGCGAUGAAGGACGUGCUAAUCUGCGAUAAGCGUCGGUAAGGUGAUAUGAACCGUUAUAACCGGCGAUUUCCGAAUGGGGAAACCCAGUGUGAUUCGUCACACUAUCAUUAACUGAAUCCAUAGGUUAAUGAGGCGAACCGGGGGAACUGAAACAUCUAAGUACCCCGAGGAAAAGAAAUCAACCGAGAUUCCCCCAGUAGCGGCGAGCGAACGGGGAGCAGCCCAGAGCCUGAAUCAGUGUGUGUGUUAGUGGAAGCGUCUGGAAAGGCGUGCGAUACAGGGUGACAGCCCCGUACACAAAAAUGCACAUAUUGUGAGCUCGAUGAGUAGGGCGGGACACGUGGUAUCCUGUCUGAAUAUGGGGGGACCAUCCUCCAAGGCUAAAUACUCCUGACUGACCGAUAGUGAACCAGUACCGUGAGGGAAAGGCGAAAAGAACCCCGGCGAGGGGAGUGAAAAAGAACCUGAAACCGUGUACGUACAAGCAGUGGGAGCACAGAGCAAUCUGUGUGACUGCGUACCUUUUGUAUAAUGGGUCAGCGACUUAUAUUCUGUAGCAAGGUUAACCGAAUAGGGGAGCCGAAGGGAAACCGAGUCUUAACUGGGCGUUAAGUUGCAGGGUAUAGACCCGAAACCCGGUGAUCUAGCCAUGGGCAGGUUGAAGGUUGGGUAACACUAACUGGAGGACCGAACCGACUAAUGUUGAAAAAUUAGCGGAUGACUUGUGGCUGGGGGUGAAAGGCCAAUCAAACCGGGAGAUAGCUGGUUCUCCCCGAAAGCUAUUUAGGUAGCGCCUCGUGAAUUCAUCUCCGGGGGUAGAGCACUGUUUCGGCAAGGGGGUCAUCCCGACUUACCAACCCGAUGCAAACUGCGAAUACCGGAGAAUGUUAUCACGGGAGACACACGGCGGGUGCUAACGUCCGUCGUGAAGAGGGAAACAACCCAGACCGCCAGCUAAGGUCCCAAAGUCAUGGUUAAGUGGGAAACGAUGUGGGAAGGCCCAGACAGCCAGGAUGUUGGCUUAGAAGCAGCCAUCAUUUAAAGAAAGCGUAAUAGCUCACUGGUCGAGUCGGCCUGCGCGGAAGAUGUAACGGGGCUAAACCAUGCACCGAAGCUGCGGCAGCGACGCUUAUGCGUUGUUGGGUAGGGGAGCGUUCUGUAAGCCUGCGAAGGUGUGCUGUGAGGCAUGCUGGAGGUAUCAGAAGUGCGAAUGCUGACAUAAGUAACGAUAAAGCGGGUGAAAAGCCCGCUCGCCGGAAGACCAAGGGUUCCUGUCCAACGUUAAUCGGGGCAGGGUGAGUCGACCCCUAAGGCGAGGCCGAAAGGCGUAGUCGAUGGGAAACAGGUUAAUAUUCCUGUACUUGGUGUUACUGCGAAGGGGGGACGGAGAAGGCUAUGUUGGCCGGGCGACGGUUGUCCCGGUUUAAGCGUGUAGGCUGGUUUUCCAGGCAAAUCCGGAAAAUCAAGGCUGAGGCGUGAUGACGAGGCACUACGGUGCUGAAGCAACAAAUGCCCUGCUUCCAGGAAAAGCCUCUAAGCAUCAGGUAACAUCAAAUCGUACCCCAAACCGACACAGGUGGUCAGGUAGAGAAUACCAAGGCGCUUGAGAGAACUCGGGUGAAGGAACUAGGCAAAAUGGUGCCGUAACUUCGGGAGAAGGCACGCUGAUAUGUAGGUGAAGUCCCUCGCGGAUGGAGCUGAAAUCAGUCGAAGAUACCAGCUGGCUGCAACUGUUUAUUAAAAACACAGCACUGUGCAAACACGAAAGUGGACGUAUACGGUGUGACGCCUGCCCGGUGCCGGAAGGUUAAUUGAUGGGGUUAGCGCAAGCGAAGCUCUUGAUCGAAGCCCCGGUAAACGGCGGCCGUAACUAUAACGGUCCUAAGGUAGCGAAAUUCCUUGUCGGGUAAGUUCCGACCUGCACGAAUGGCGUAAUGAUGGCCAGCCUGUCUCCACCCGAGACUCAGUGAAAUUGAACUCGCUGUGAAGAUGCAGUGUACCCGCGGCAAGACGGAAAGACCCCGUGAACCUUUACUAUAGCUUGACACUGAACAUUGAGCCUUGAUGUGUAGGAUAGGUGGGAGGCUUUGAAGUGUGGACGCCAGUCUGCAUGGAGCCGACCUUGAAAUACCACCCUUUAAUGUUUGAUGUUCUAACGUUGACCCGUAAUCCGGGUUGCGGACAGUGUCUGGUGGGUAGUUUGACUGGGGCGGUCUCCUCCUAAAGAGUAACGGAGGAGCACGAAGGUUGGCUAAUCCUGGUCGGACAUCAGGAGGUUAGUGCAAUGGCAUAAGCCAGCUUGACUGCGAGCGUGACGGCGCGAGCAGGUGCGAAAGCAGGUCAUAGUGAUCCGGUGGUUCUGAAUGGAAGGGCCAUCGCUCAACGGAUAAAAGGUACUCCGGGGAUAACAGGCUGAUACCGCCCAAGAGUUCAUAUCGACGGCGGUGUUUGGCACCUCGAUGUCGGCUCAUCACAUCCUGGGGCUGAAGUAGGUCCCAAGGGUAUGGCUGUUCGCCAUUUAAAGUGGUACGCGAGCUGGGUUUAGAACGUCGUGAGACAGUUCGGUCCCUAUCUGCCGUGGGCGCUGGAGAAUUGAGGGGGGCUGCUCCUAGUACGAGAGGACCGGAGUGGACGCAUCACUGGUGUUCGGGUUGUCAUGCCAAUGGCACUGCCCGGUAGCUAAAUGCGGAAGAGAUAAGUGCUGAAAGCAUCUAAGCACGAAACUUGCCCCGAGAUGAGUUCUCCCUGACUCCUUGAGAGUCCUGAAGGAACGUUGAAGACGACGACGUUGAUAGGCCGGGUGUGUAAGCGCAGCGAUGCGUUGAGCUAACCGGUACUAAUGAACCGUGAGGCUUAACCUU